rnacentral:rRNA from 1 species
CGAACGAAAGCGUAAGCUUUAGUGGCGAACGGGUGAGUAACACGUAAGAAUCUACCUCUAGGAGGGAAAUAACAAUUGGAAACGAUUGCUAAUGUCCCAUAUGCUGAAAAGUGAAAUGAUCUUUCGCCUAGAGAUGAGCUUGCGCCUGAUUAGCUAGUUGGUAAGGUAAAGGCUUACCAAGGCCACGAUCAGUAGCUGGUUUGAGAGGAUGAUCAGCCACACUGGAACUGAGACACGGUCCAGACUUCUACGGAAGGCAGCAGUGGGGAAUUUUCCGCAAUGGGCGAAAGCCUGACGGAGCAAUACCGCGUGAAGGAUGAAUGCCUGUGGGUUGUAAACUUCUUUUAUUAGGGAAGAAUUAAAUGACGGUACCUAAUGAAUAAGCAUCGGCUAACUCCGUGCCAGCAGCCGCGGUAAUACGGGGGAUGCAAGCGUUAUCCGGAAUUAUUGGGCGUAAAGAGUCUGUAGGUUGUUUAGAAAGUCCACUGUUAAAUAUUAGAGCUCAACUCUAAACAAGCACUGGAAACUACUAGACUAGAGUAUGGUAGGGGCAAAGGGAAUUCCCAGUGUAGCGGUGAAAUGCGUAGAUAUUGGGAAGAACACCAGAAGCGAAAGCGCUUUGCUGGGCCAUCACUGACACUCAGAGACGAAAGCUAGGGGAGCGAAUGGGAUUAGAUACCCCAGUAGUCCUAGCCGUAAACGAUGGAUACUAGAUGUUGCGCGUAUCGAUCCGUGCAGUAUCGUAGCUAACGCGUUAAGUAUCCCGCCUGGGAAGUAUGCUCGCAAGAGUGAAACUCAAAGGAAUUGA